GCCAAUGAUGUCACAAUCCAACUUGUUUGAGGUGUAGUGGUGCCAAGUCCCUGUUUUUAUAGGGAGAACCUACUUGAUGAAAGCUACAUAACUUUGACAGAAAAAUGUAGACUGAGGA